rnacentral:rRNA from 1 species
AGUGAACGCUGGCGGUAGGCCUAACACAUGCAAGUCGAACGGCAGCACAGUAAGAGCUUGCUCUUACGGGUGGCGAGUGGCGGACGGGUGAGGAAUACAUCGGAAUCUACUUUUUCGUGGGGGAUAACGUAGGGAAACUUACGCUAAUACCGCAUACGACCUACGGGUGAAAGCAGGGGAUCUUCGGACCUUGCGCGAUUGAAUGAGCCGAUGUCGGAUUAGCUAGUUGGCGGGGUAAAGGCCCACCAAGGCGACGACCCGUAGCUGGUCUGAGAGGAUGAUCAGCCACACUGGAACUGAGACACGGUCCAGACUCCUACGGGAGGCAGCAGUGGGGAAUAUUGGACAAUGGGCGCAAGCCUGAUCCAGCCAUACCGCGUGGGUGAAGAAGGCCUUCGGGUUGUAAAGCCCUUUUGUUGGGAAAGAAAAGCAGCAGGUUAAUACCCCGCUGUUCUGACGGUACCCAAAGAAUAAGCGCCGGCUAACUUCGUG